UACGGAGGGGGGCUAGCGUUGUUCGGAAUUACUGGGCGUAAAGCGCGCGUAGGCGGCUUUGUAAGUUAGAGGUGAAAGCCCGGAGCUCAACUCCGGAACUGCCUUUAAGACUGCAUCGCUAGAAUUGUGGAGAGGUGAGUGGAAUUCCGAGUGUAGAGGUGAAAUUCGUAGAUAUUCGGAAGAACACCAGUGGCGAAGGCGACUCACUGGACACAUAUUGACGCUGAGGUGCGAAAGCGUGGGGAGCAAACAGG
rnacentral:rRNA from 1 species